rnacentral:rRNA from 1 species
UACGUAGGGUGCGAGCGUUAAUCGGAAUUACUGGGCGUAAAGCGUGCGCAGGCGGUUGUGCAAGACAGAGGUGAAAUCCCCGAGCUUAACUUGGGAACUGCCUUUGUGACUGCACGGCUAGAGUGUGUCAGAGGGGGGUAGAAUUCCACGUGUAGCAGUGAAAUGCGUAGAGAUGUGGAGGAAUACCGAUGGCGAAGGCAGCCCCCUGGGAUAACACUGACGCUCAUGCACGAAAGCGUGGGGAGCAAACAGG